rnacentral:rRNA from 1 species
ACUCCUACGGGAGGCAGCAGUGGGGAAUAUUGGACAAUGGGCGAAAGCCUGAUCCAGCCAUGCCGCGUGUGUGAAGAAGGUCUUCGGAUUGUAAAGCACUUUAAGUUGGGAGGAAGGGCUGUAGGCUAAUAUCCUGCAGUUUUGACGUUACCAACAGAAUAAGCACCGGCUAACUUCGUGCCAGCAGCCGCGGUAAUACGAAGGGUGCAAGCGUUAAUCGGAAUUACUGGGCGUAAAGCGCGCGUAGGUGGUUCGUUAAGUUGGAUGUGAAAGCCCCGGGCUCAACCUGGGAACUGCAUUUGGAACUGGCAGGCUAGAGUUUUGUAGAGGGUGGUAGAAUUUCAGGUGUAGCGGUGAAAUGCGUAGAGAUCUGAAGGAAUACCGGUGGCGAAGGCGACCACCUGGCCAAUAACUGACACUGAGACGCGAAGGCGUGGGUAGCAAACGGGAUUAGAUACCCUGGUAGCGAGUAG